rnacentral:misc_RNA from 1 species
UUUGAUUUGAAGACCCUUCGAGCCCUCAGUUUCGUUUUGAUGGAGAAUCUUAAAGGAAAACUUAGAGAUCUCUCCGGUACACCUGAUACAGCCGAGUUCUCAUCAACUUUAGAUGCAUGUAAUUUGUUGAAUUAUGUUCGAGACAAGACUUUUGCAAAUAUGGGGGUUGAACAGCUGAGCUCCUACAUUUGCAACGACAAGAGGAAGAGAAUUUUGG